GGCGGUAUACUUUAAAUAAAAAGGACUGAUUUGCAUUUAGUUAAUAAGAGUUGUAUCUCUUUAGCGCCA
rnacentral:tRNA from 1 species